UACGUAGGGGGCUAGCGUUGUCCGGAUUUAUUGGGCGUAAAGAGCGUGUAGGCGGCCAUGUAGGUCCGGUGUGAAAACCUCGAGGCUUAACCUCGAGAUGUCAUCGGAAACCAUUUGGCUAGAGUCCGGAAGAGGAGAGUGGAAUUCCUGGUGUAGCGGUGAAAUGCGCAGAUAUCAGGAAGAACACCAAUGGCGAAAGCAGCUCUCUGGGACGGUACUGGACGCUGAAGACGCGAAAGCGUGGGGAGCGAAACAGG
rnacentral:rRNA from 1 species